GAAUUUUGGAGGGUGGCAGGGAGUAGGCAGGGGAGCAACACUGGUGAAUGACGGGGGCAGGCGGGGCUGGCUAAAAGUGGAUUGAGCAGUGUUCCCAGGAGGAAAGGUUCCUGCAGAGCAGCUAUUCUAAGAGGACCAGAGAGCCAUUCCAAAGGCUAUGGAGGCUGCUGGAGAGGCUGAUCAGGGGUUGAGAGCAUUGGCUGCUUUCCCAGAGGUUCUAAUUCCAAGGUCCCCACAGCAGCUCUCACCCAUCUGUCCCCCAGUAGGUGCACAGACAUACACGCCGGUGAACACCCAUCGCAUACAAUUAGACUUAAGGUUUUUUAAAGGUUAGGCGAAAUGUCUUAGUCAGACAUGAGCAGUUGCUUUAUCCAGAGACGUAAAAGAGGGUACAGACAGACACAUGGAGGACAUAGCGUUUAUAGGGUGUCAAAGAAAGGGUUCAAGGAGUCAAGUGAUUAGCAGGGGGAGAGGUGUAUAGGUGAACAGCGAAGGAGUCACAGGAAGAAGAGGUCAGAGACCUUGGAAGCCAUGGGGCUGAGAGUUUUAGAAGGGAAUGAAGAAUUUCUAACGAAGGUUUUACAAAAAGUGAUCCUGGUCUUAUUUGCUCUUGUUUUCUGUGUCAUGCACGCAUGAUUGCCUGCUUGUGCAUGUGAGCAUGUGUGUGUGUGUGUGUGUGUGUGUGUGUGUGUGUGUGUGUGUCUGUGUGAGUGUGCUUGUAUGUGCUCCUAUGAAGAAGGACCGGACCUGGACCUUACUGUUCCUAGGCUGGCUGUGCACCCAGUCCCUGGGAACCAGCCUGUCUCCAGCCUCACAGUGCCGAGGUUGCAGGCAUGUGCCGACAUACCCAGAGUUGUCUUGAGUACUGGAAUCUGAGCUCAAGUCCUCACACUUAUGCAGUAAACACUUUAUCCUGAGCCAUCCUCUGUACCCUCGGGGGUUGUUUGGUUGGUUUGGUUUGGGAGUUUGUUGUUUGCUUGUUUGUUUUUAAGGAAGUUUUUGGGUACUUCAAGCCGGCUUCCUACUAGCUACACAGCUGAGACCACUGUUGACUCCUCCUGCCUGAACUUCACCACCACGGCCAGCUUUAUUCAUUGUGUUUCCUUGGUUUGGUGUUUUUGAGACAUGGCCUCAUUACAGUUCUCAGGAUUUCUUGGAACUCACAAUCCUCCUGCCUCUGCCUUCAGAGUGCUGGAUACCAAUAUGCCAGUAAGGCUCCCUCCCUCCCUCCUCUCACUCCUUCCCUCUCCUUCCUUCCCUCUCUCCCUCCCUCCUUCCCUCCCUCCCUCCUUCCCUCCCUCCUGCCUUCACACUCUCCCUCUCUCCUUCCCUUUCUGAGACACAUUCUCACUGUGUAACCCUGGCUGGAUCUUGCUGUUGACCAGGCUGGGCUGGAACUCUGAGAGUUCUACCCCUUUCUGCCUCCUGAGUGCUAGGAUUAAAGGCAUCACCACGCCCAAAGAGAGUCUUAUUUUCAGACUGUUUUAUGGGGGGUGAAAAGGAAGCAUUUGCAGGUCAGGGGCACUGUUUGGGGAACAAGAUGUUGAAAGAGGCCAUUGGAUGUUUUAGAGAGAAACUUCACCAGAGGCAGGGACUUUCGAGGCAGUAGACAAGAACAACCCUUCCCUGAAGCAAGUAUGGAGGGGACAGACAGAGAGAGGGAGUCUGGGGACACUGGAGAAGGGAGGUGAUAGAGUGUGGGGGUGGGAAGGGCUGGUGGACAGGGAACGAGAGUGAAUGACAACCUUUAGAGGGGACAUCUUGGUGGUGGUGCCUGUGAGGACGUUAAAGGCACUCGGUGCUGAUGUUAGAUGGGCCACGUAGAAGUGUGUGAGUGUGAAAAAGGAGAAGCACCCAGAGCUGCAGUGAUGCGAUGGCUCACUGCUCAAGAGCCCUGGCUGCUCUUCCAGGGAACCCAGUUCAGUACCCACCUCAGGCAGUGCACGACCACCAGCUCCAGGCCAUCCAGGGUCCCUUCUGACUUUCCUGGGCACCUGCACACACACAGACACACAGACACACAGACACACACACACACACACACACACACACACACACACGAUAAUAAGGUUUAUCUUUUACCGGUUGGUUUAUUUUAUUUCAUUUCAUUUUUUAUGUCUGAGUGUUUUGCCUGCACGUAUGUCUGUGAACCAUGUGCGUGGGGGCCAGAAGAGGGUGUCAGAUGCCCUUGGCCUGGAUGAUUGUGAGAUUCCGUGUGAGUGCUGGGAAUCAAACCAGGAUCUUCUGCGAAAGCAGCCAGUGUGUUCUUGGCCACUCAGCUCUCUCUUUGUAAGGGCUACAGUUAACCUGUGAGCCCCGCUUGCUCAGGGGCAGACAACUUCCUGGUUUGGUGGGGGAGGCUGUUCCUGUAAACUGGCAAGUCAGGUGAUUUCUCUUCAGUAAACGAGGGUGGUUAACCCACCUGCACAGGAUGUGCUUGGUCACACAUAGGUGGGAGGAGCAUAGGCAGGAAGUGCAUCCGGAUGUAAGCCUGCCUCCCAUUGGAUGAAGGAAGGAAACACUGUAUCCUUGUGGGUUUUGCCUUUAAGAACGCCUGACCUAAUUCAGAGCCAUUCUCUGGGAAAACCCAGGUCUAACAGGGUCCAGCUCCCAAAGCAUUUGUAAAAGAAAGAGGUGUCUGAACGAAUGUCUGUCAGAAACGAGGAAGAGAAUAAAGAGCAAACUGUGGCUGAAGUCAUCCCACACAUCCAGGAGCACCGCUAUCUAACCAUGCUGGCCCUCAGCUGUUUCGUCCCAGUGGGCUACAUAGCCCUAUUCUGCUUUCUAAUGACAAGAAGUUAUAUAGAACGGAAGGAGUACGAGAAGGCCAAAGCCACCUCCAGAUACACCCUCUUUUUUGCCACAGUCUCCAUUUUUGGAGGACUCGUCUUUCUUCUCUCAUUAUUCCGAUUCUUAUUAAAGUAACCUCUGUCCCUCCUCAUUGACUGACCACCCGAUACCUAGAACACAACUGGCCCUUCCUGCAACUUUGGAUUCCCUGGACCCCUUCUCUUUAAAGUCUGGACUCCUGUGCUGAUUGAAUCAGUAACAAAUUUUGUGACAAUGAUGGCAUGCUGUUCCUAGAGCCUGUGUAGUGCUCUGUUGGGCACUUCAGAUGUCAGAGUCGACAGCAGACACCAACUGAACGGCCUAAAACGAAAGUCAAUUCUGAAGCUCCACCUACAAGACACAGGUCUUUGUGGAAUCUGGUGGAAUCCCACAAUGGCAUCCAGAAUGCUCUAAAUGGAGACCCAGAAAGAAGAUGACCCAAGUCUGAGAAGUGAGACCUUUCCCCUGAACCAGAUCAUUGGCCGGGGGUCACUUUGGGGGAGGGGUGUUGGGUUUGUUUUUUUUUUUUUUUUUUUUUUUUUUUUGGCUUUUGGAGACAGGGUCUCUUUGUACAGCCCUGGCUGCCCUGAAACUCAAUAGUUUACAGAGAUCUGCCUGCUUCUGCCCCCCAAUGCUGACAUUAAAGAUGAGAUCUACCA